rnacentral:rRNA from 1 species
CGGACGGGUGAGUAAUGUCUGGGAAACUGCCUGAUGGAGGGGGAUAACUACUGGAAACGGUAGCUAAUACCGCAUAACGUCGCAAGACCAAAGAGAGGGACCUUCGGGCCUCUUGCCAUCAGAUGUGCCCAGAUGGGAUUAGCUAGUAGGUGGGGUAACGGCUCACCUAGGCGACGAUCCCUAGCUGGUCUGAGAGGAUGACCAGCCACACUGGAACUGAGACACGGUCCAGACUCCUACGGGAGGCAGCAG